GAUGAAGAACGCAGCGAAAUGCGAUAAGUAGUGUGAAUUGCAGAAUUCAGUGAAUCAUCGAAUCUUUGAACGCACAUUGCGCCCUUUGGUAUUCCAAAGGGCAUGCCUGUUCGAGCGUCAUUUGUACCCUCAAGCUUUGCUUGGUGUUGGGCGUCUUGUCUCUAGCUUUGCUGGAGACUCGCCUUAAAGUAAUUGGCAGCCGGCCUACUGGUUUCGGAGCGCGGCACAAGUCGCACUCUCUAUCAGCAAAGGUCUAGCAUCCAUUAAGCCUUUUUUUCAACUUUUGACCUCGGAUCAGGUAGGGAUACCCGCUGAACUUAAGCAUAUCAAUAAGCGGAGGA
rnacentral:misc_RNA from 1 species